rnacentral:rRNA from 1 species
UGGGGAAUCUUGCGCAAUGGGCGAAAGCCUGACGCAGCGACGCCGCGUGUGGGAUGAAGGCCUUCGGGUCGUAAACCACUGUCGCGAGGGACGAAUAAAUUGACGGUACCUCGAAAGGAAGCACCGGCUAACUCUGUG